rnacentral:rRNA from 1 species
AUUGAACGCUGGCGGCAGGCUUAACACAUGCAAGUCGAGCGGGCAUCUUCGGGUGUCAGCGGCGGACGGGUGAGUAACGCGUGGGAACGUGCCUUCUGGUUCGGAAUAACUCAGGGAAACUUGAGCUAAUACCGGAUACGCCCUUUUGGGGAAAGGUUUACUGCCGGAAGAUCGGCCCGCGUCUGAUUAGCUAGUUGGUGGGGUAACGGCCUACCAAGGCGACGAUCAGUAGCUGGUCUGAGAGGAUGAUCAGCCACACUGGGACUGAGACACGGCCCAGACUCCUACGGGAGGCAGCAGUGGGGAAUAUUGGGCAAUGGGCGCAAGCCUGAUCCAGCCAUGCCGCGUGAGUGAUGAAGGCCUUAGGGUUGUAAAGCUCUUUUAUCCGGGACGAUAAUGACGGUACCGGAGGAAUAAGCCCCGGCUAACUUCGUGCCAGCCGCCGCGGUAA